rnacentral:rRNA from 1 species
UACGUAGGAUCCGAGCGUUGUCCGGAUUUACUGGGUGUAAAGGGUGCGCAGGCGGACUGGUAAGUCAGUGGUGAAAUCUCGUCGCUUAACGACGAAACUGCCUUUGAUACUAUCAGUCUUGAAUCCGGUAGAGAUCUGUGGAAUUCCGAGUGUAGCAGUGAAAUGUGUAGAUAUUCGGAAGAACACCAGUGGCGAAGGCGGCUUCCUGGACUCAUACUGACGCUGAGGCGCGAAAGCGUGGGGAGCAAACAGG